rnacentral:rRNA from 1 species
CCUACGGGUGACAGCAGUGAGGAAUAUUGGUCAAUGGCCGGGAGGCUGAACCAGCCAAGUCGCGUGAGGGAAGACGGCCCUACGGGUUGUAAACCUCUUUUGUCAGGGAGCAAGGUGCAGCUCGUGACCUGCUUUGUGAGUACCUUAAGAAAAAGCAUCGGCUAACUCCGUGCCAGCAGCCGCGGUAAUCCGGAGGUUGCGAGCGUUAUCCGGAUUUAUUGGGUUUAAAGGGUGCGCAGGCGGAGGCACAAGUCAGCGGUAAAAUCGCGGGGCUCAACCCCGCUCCGCCGUUGAAACUGUGGCCCUGGAGUGCGCGAAGGGUAGGCGGAAUGCGUGGUGUAGCGGUGAAAUGCAUAGAUAUCACGCAGAACUCCGAUCGCGAAGGCAGCCUACCGGAGCGCAACUGACGCUCAUGCACGAAAGCGUGGGUAUCGAACAGGAUUAGAUACCCUUGUAGUC